rnacentral:rRNA from 1 species
UACGUAGGGCGCAAGCGUUGUCCGGAAUUAUUGGGCGUAAAGAGCUCGUAGGCGGCCUGUCGCGUCUGCUGUGAAAUCCCGGGGCUUAACCCCGGGCGUGCAGUGGAUACGGGCUGGCUGGAGGCAGGCAGGGGAGAAUGGAAUUCCCGGUGUAGCGGUGAAAUGCGCAGAUAUUGGGAGGAACACCGGUGGCGAAGGCGGUUCUCUGGGCCUGUUCUGACGCUGAGGCGCGAAAGCUAGGGGAGCGAACAGG